rnacentral:rRNA from 1 species
UACAGAGGUCCCAAGCGUUGUUCGGAUUCAUUGGGCGUAAAGCGUGCGCAGGCGGUUUUGUAAGCCAGAUGUGAAAUCCCCGGGCUCAACCUGGGAAUGGCAUUUGGGACUGCAAGGCUGGAGUGCGGCAGAGGAGACUGGAAUUCCUGGUGUAGCAGUGAAAUGCGUAGAUAUCAGGAGGAAUACCGAUGGCGAAGGCAGGUCUCUGGGCUGACACUGACGCUCAUGCACGAAAGCGUGGGGAGCAAACAGG